UUAAAGUGUUCCAACAACUGACUAAACAUCGACUGACAUUGUACAAAUGAUGGGGAGUGCACGUGUAGAACAUGGCAUAAUACGUGCACUCGUCUCACACCUGGAGCCUUGUACCUGAGGUUAUCUGUGGCACUUUCUUGUGGGAUGUGAUCCUGAGUGGUUGUCCGGCAAUUACCAGAUUCGAAGGAAUAUAAUAAUGGCGUAAUACUUAAGACACGACACCGGAAUACGACAUCCUGAGGAUCAGUGAAACCUGCAUCACUGCUCAAGUACAGAGAAUCAUCACCAG